CUACGGGAGGCUGCAGUGAGGAAUAUUGCACAAUGGGGGGAACCCUGAUGCAGCAACGCCGCGUGGAGGAUGACGCAUUUCGGUGUGUAAACUCCUUUUAUAUGUCAAGAAAAUGACGGUAGCAUAUGAAUAAGCACCGGCUAACUCCGUGCCAGCAGCCGCGGUAAUACGGAGGGUGCAAGCGUUACUCGGAAUAACUGGGCGUAAAGUACGCGUAGGCGGGUUGGAAAGUCAGGUGUGAAAUCCUACAGCUUAACUGUAGAACUGCACUUGAAACUUCUAAUCUAGAGUAUGGGAGGGGGAGAUGGAAUUAGUGGUGUAGGGGUAAAAUCCGUAGAUAUCACUAGGAAUACCUAAAGCGAAGGCGAUCUCCUGGAACAUUACUGACGCUAAGGCGUGAAAGCGUGGGGAGCAAACAGGAUUAGAUACCCUAGUAGUC
rnacentral:rRNA from 1 species